rnacentral:rRNA from 1 species
UACGAAGGAGGCUAGCGUUGCUCGGAAUCACUGGGCGUAAAGCGCACGUAGGCGGAUUGCUAAGUCAGGGGUGAAAUCCUGGAGCUCAACUCCAGAACUGCCUUUGAUACUGGCGACCUUGAGUCCGGGAGAGGUGAGUGGAACUGCGAGUGUAGAGGUGAAAUUCGUAGAUAUUCGCAAGAACACCAGUGGCGAAGGCGGCUCACUGGCCCGGUACUGACGCUGAGGUGCGAAAGCGUGGGGAGCAAACAGG